CGAGGAGCGACUGAGGCGGACCCGCCGGUCCGAGCUGCGGUCGGGGACCCUUCCAUAAAGCGCUCCGUCCGCACGCCCCACGGCUCUGGAGAGAUCUGCAGAUGUCUUUUAUAUCAUCUCUUGAACUGCCACAUGAAAAAGAAAAACUUCAAAAUUCGGGUCAUCCAGGGCAGUGGGAAUUAAAUAAAGAAUGUGAUCCUCACCUGUCAGUCCUACCUUUUGCUCCUGUAAACAGCCACAUGAAUGUGAAGAAGUUGUGCUGAAGACUGAAUUGACCUGGGUUUUUUACAAAGACCUUCCUUCUAUCCACCAGUUCAGACUUGUAGCUGCUUUGCUAUUCUUCCAGCCCAGUGUUAUACCGACAUACGUAGAACUGUUUGUCUGUAAAUUAGCCUUGUGAUUUCAGCCAAAUAAAGUCUGCCUACAGGUGUAACAGCCUCUGUGCAAUUCCGUGACCUGCUGUGACUUGAAUUCUUACGGGUUUUCUUGUAAAAGUGAUCAGGGCAAUUUCGCUUCUUUGCACUCACAUCCAAUCAGUUCAACACAUGGUAAGGUCACUGGUAAUGUAAAAACCUGUUCCAUAAACCUCCUCCACUAAGCUAGGAUUGAAUUCACACUUUGAAAUGAGCUCUUCACGGUAAACACUGUACAAGCAGUACGGGCUUCUGCAGUCAGUGUUUCUCCUCAGUUCCUCAAUUUGAUUUAAUACCACAGAACAUGUGGUGCCCGUUCUAAGUCUUGCGCUUCCUCUCUUACCACCAAGAACAAAUUUAGCCUGGUAAGAGUCAAAAAGCAAAGCUGCAAGGCAGGCAGACUGCAAAAAUCUGGUGUUAUCGCAUAUAAAAGCUGGUAAAGCUGGGGGUGUUCUGGCUUCAUUCGCUGUCUGACCGAAGGCCGCACACCGCACACUCCGGCCCCUCAGCA